rnacentral:rRNA from 1 species
UCAUCGAAUCUUUGAACGCACCUUGCGCCCCUUGGUAUUCCGAGGGGCACACCCGUUUGAGCGUCGUGAAAUUCUCAACCUCCUCGGUUUCUUCUGGAGACUGAAGGAGGCUUGGACUUUGGAGGCCUUUGCUGGCGUGUCUCGCCAGCUCCUCUUAAAUGAAUUAGCGUGGUCCUCUUUGCCGAACCUCGACACGUGAUAAGAUGCUUCCGUGUCUCGGUUUCUGGCUCUGUUGCUUUUGGGACCCGCUUCUAACCGUCUGGACCUUGCGUCGAGACAAUGUUCGAGCUCGUAUCCCUUCUUGGGAAACCCCCUCGACCCCACGAACCCUUGGCCUCAAAUCGGGUGAGACUACCCACU